rnacentral:misc_RNA from 1 species
CUCUCCAGUUGAAAUCACUGCUGGCUUGAUUUAUUUUGUUCAAGCUUUAUCUCGUUAUGCACUUGAAUUGGACUGCAGCCAAAAACUUUACUGUGCUGAACUUAUUUUUUUCUUGUCUUUCUCUCACUCUUAGUAAAUUUUAUCUUUAUGAAGAUUUAUCUUGUGUAACAUCUUAUCAGGUUUUGCAAGAUGGAGAGCAUGCAUAGCUUUUGGCAAUUGGGUGAUGACCUUCGAGGACAAUCAAAAGUCUCAGAGGAUCAUAAGUGGUUAAUGGCUGCUUCUAAAUUGGCUGAGCAGACGAGGUCAAAGGGCGAACGCAUGAAUAAUCUUGAUCUUUCAAAGGGUUUGGCAGAAAUAAGGCCAAGGGACAAGAUUGGAUUUCAGGAAGAUAAUAAAUUUGAAAGCCUUAACUUUAAUAUGUUGAACUUGGAAUCCAAGAUGACAGAAAAUGUGGGCAAAAGUUCUUUCAGAAAUGGUGUUUACAAUAUGAAUGCAGUGUACCAGAAAAACAACAUAAACAAUAUUGGAAAUCUGACUGGUAGCAAGUAUAGUGGUAACAGUCAGAAUAUCAAAGAGCCCAACAACAACAACAAUAACAGCAAAGGCCAACCCACCUCCGACAUCUGGAAGCUUUCUCGAGAAAGUGAUGAAAAAUUCGAUUCAUUAUUCACCGAAGAUUCCAAUGACAGCCUUUCUGGAAUUACGGAUUCUCCGGCUGCUGAGGAAGAGUCAUGGUUAGAGGAGAAAAGGGGAGAUGAUGGUGGAGAUAUAUUUAACAGAAUUGAGAAGGAUUCUGGGGCGAGGAAUGGCGGUGAUGCUGGCAAUGAGUGGCUCACGUCGGAGGGGUACAAGAUGUGGAGCUUGGAUGAGGGGGAGGAGGAGAAAGAUAAUGUGUUUGACAUUGGAGAGAUUGCACAGGAUGCUAGCGAAACUAGCACCGAGACUAGUGUGAAUCUGGAGAUUGACCAGAUUGAGGAUCCGAAAGAGCUCGAGAGAGAGGAAGAGGAGCUCACUGCCAUACUUAAGGGUCCAAAUCGCGCAUUCGGUGACCUAAUUGCAGCAUCUGGAAUCACUGAUGCAAUGUUGGACAGUUUGAUUGCAUUAAAGGAUUUUGAAGGGGUUGAGGGAUUGCCUCCUCUAAGUGAAAUAGAGGACAUGCGUUAUGAAAAGACCACAAGAAAAUCCAUGAGAUCUGAAAUAGAGCGUCGAAAACAGGAAGAAGUUGCCAAAGCUAGAGUGAGACUAGUAGAUGACAAAGGAAGAGCUUAUGGAACAGGACGAAGGAAAUGUAGUGUGGCCCGUGUUUGGAUUCAACCUGGUGAUGGAAAAUUCUUAGUUAAUGAUAAACAAUUUGAUGUAUAUUUCCCAAUGCUUGAUCAUCGUUCUACCCUGUUGCGACCCUUUACUGAAACAAAGACCUUGGGUCUUUGGGAUGUCAAUUGUACUGUGAAAGGAGGUGGUGUUUCUGGUAAGCUUGUACGAUUCCAGUCAUUAUUUGUACAAUUCUAGUUGCACAGGUAUAUUAUUUUCUUGUGGUGUUCCUCUGGCUCGUUCAAGCUAAUCUUUCUCUUCUAUGUUGAUCCUGAAAUUUAGGUGACAUUGUUUUUGCAUUAUGGUGUAUGUAUGCUUCAUUUCAUAGGAGAGAAAUUGCAUGUUAGAUUCAUUUGCUAUGUCUCUGAGCUUUUUUUUGGUCGGAACUAGAGGAUCUUUUUGACUUGCUGAGUUAUAGUGUUAUGGGUAGAUACAAUGGCAUGUUUCCAAUGGUUAAAGCUCUUUCUUAAUAAUGAAAUUAAUUUAUUAUUUCGUUGAUGCUCUUACAUGAUUAUUCUCAUUCCACUGUCCUAUUCCUUUUGGUUGAUUGUCUGCUUGCUCAUCUAGUUCCUCAAACUCAAGUUAUUCUAAUUCCUCCGGUUUGUGCUUUUGUGCUGUACUUUUUUUGCAUUUGGCAGCCUGAGACUUGCCUUUAACUUAUUUUAACAAUAUCCUUUUGUGAGGGUAGCAUCUAGGCUUUCUGGAAGGUUCUGUAAAAAGCUUCAGCUAUGCAUAGGUCAUAUGUCUAUGUUAAUUAGAAGAAGAUUUGGAGAAAGGCCGUGUUUGGUCGUGUUUGCCAAUUUAUGUACUGUUUUUAGAUAGUACUUGGGGGGGGGAAGUCAAUCAUUUGCAUGGUGACAGGUCAAAUUGGAGCUAUACAGCUGGGGAUCAGCCGUGCCUUGCAAAGUUGGGAACCUGAUUUACGUCCACCUCUAAGAAGUGCUGGUUUCUUGACAAGGGACCCACGUGUGGUUGAAAGGAAGAAACCAGGAAAAGCAAAAGCAAGAAAGAGCUUUCAAUGGGUCAAACGUUGAUCAAUGGUUACAAGCUUGCAGUUCGUACAACUACUUUUUGUUUGGAAACCUGGUAUUCACAUCAUUAGCCGGUAGCUUGGAGGCUUGUUAGCUGGCCUGAAAUUUCUUUUAUAAUGCAACUUGUAGUUCGUAGUUACACCAUGAUUCUCGGAAGAGCCUGUGAAGAUUUUGUUUACCUAGAGAGCUUAUUCAACCUCUGCUCAUUUUUCCUUCUCUUUUUUGGUUACCUUUUAACGUGUCUUGGGCAAAUAAAAGAAAAGCUUACAAAUUUUCAAAAAUGUAGCAGGUUGCUAUGAUUUGUUGUCCAUUUGAAUUCAAAUUCUGGAGUAUAAGGAAACAAAUUUGAGUUUAUCUCUGUUUGGAUGAGUUAAAUCAUUUUAUUCAGCGACAUAUUGUUCCCGUAUUCUUGUUUUUUUUUCUCUCAAUCUUUCUUGGAAUUCGAAGGCGUCAUUAACAUGAUAAAAAUUUUCCUCAUUGCCAUUGGUUGAUGAAUUAUUUUGCAUUUGCG